rnacentral:lncRNA from 1 species
AGCCACAGCAACGCCAGAUCUGAGCCAUAUCGGUGACCUACACCACAGCUCAUAGCAACACCAGAUCCUUAACCCACUGAGUGAAGCCAGGAAUCGAACCCUCGUCCUCACGGAUGCUAGUUGGCUUCAUUGCCGCUGAGCCACAUGGAAACUCCCUCUCCCUCUCUCUUUUUGUAAUAGUUAUUUUAUAAUAUUGUGCUAGUUUCAGGUGUACAGCAAAGUGAUUCAGUUUUACAUUUCUUAUUCACACAAAAGUCUGUUUUGAAUCCCUUCUGUCCCAGGUUCAGCCUCAUCUCUGCUUCAGUCAGUCUUACAGGCUUUUAAUCACUCUGGCCCCAACUGGGUCUAUCCAGGUAGUGGUGAGUGGAAAUUCCUCCCGGAGUCUGGAAGAGCCACUUCCCAAGCAGAGUUAAUUGUGCAGCUUUGGAGUGAGAUUCCAAGGGCAUUCCAGCGGCUUGGGGCAGCCGGCCUGGGGCUCUUGUCUCUGCCCGAGACCUCCCUUCCAGGAAACCUCCCUUCCAGGAAACCCACCUUCCAGGAAACCCCCCUGACUUCCCUUUUCUCUUUUCCUAGUUACUUCCUCUCCUUCUUUCACACCCUGGUGGGCUGUGGCGCCCCGCGCUCCCACUUCCCAGUUUGAUUGUGUCUUCUGGGUUGGUGUCUCCCUGACCCAGGUCUGUGACAGACACACCUAGACCAAAACGUGACAUGAGGUCCUUUGGGUCCUUUACGUCGAGGUGUCCCUCACGGCGCAGCCCCUCCCCUGGAAUUUCCUCUGAGGAUCUUAGGUCUGGCCCUGCUCACAGGCAGGCAGGCACCUGGACCUGUCAGGAGAGUUCCCCGGUAGGUCUCCACUUGAAUUUUCCUUUGCUGCCCCUGUCAGCGCCCUGGCUCCUCAUCGGAUGACCGCAGUUGGUUUCAGGUGGCAUUUCCACUGUCCCUGCUCACUUUACACAUGCCGCUGUCACCUGUCUACAGCCCCUGGUUGGAAAAGCCACAGCUUCAGUGGUGGGACCUGCAGUUUUCAACGUACUUAUGGAGCCCAGAUGUUCUCACACACACACUGACACAAUUCACAAAACAGCAGUUCCUCUUCAAGCAUGCCUCUGAUAUUCCUCGUCUAUCAAUCAGCCCUGUCACAUCUAAUUUAUAAAACGCUGGUCUAAUGGACAAAUUAGACCCCCUCGUUCAGCAAACGUGGCUCAUCCCAACCUGGUAAUGUCUCUUCCUCGUGCAGACUUCAACUCCAGCUACUGUAGAACAAACCACUUCUUCCAGAAAUGCCAUGUACAUUCAAAUCUCUCUGCUCAGCACAUACCCACCCCUCCCAGUCACACGCCUCCAUCAAAUGUCCCUCCUGGCAAAUCCCUGUCACCAUCCCAGACCCCGCUGGAAGGCCUCCAUGGGGGCAUCCCCUCUGCCUCCAGCAUCCCCAAAUGCCUUCCCCAUUAAUAUUUUAAUUAAAACAAUGUGUAGGAGUUCCCGUUGUGGCUCAGCUGCAACAAACCCAACUAGCAUACAUGAAGACGCAGGGUAGAUCCCUGGCCUUGCUCAGUGGGUUAAGGAUCUGGCGUUGCUGAGGCUGGGGCGUAGGCCAGUAGCUGCAGCUCUGAUUCAACCCCUAGCCUGGGAACUUCCACAUGCUGCGGAUGCAGCCCUAAAAAGAUUCCCCCCACCCCAAAAAACCUGUAUAUUCUAAUAUUUUUCAAAGGAUGAUUUUUGGACGUGGGUCAUUGUGCUGUAAUAAAGAAUACAUCUGGUCUUUGUCUCCAUCUCUGGUGGGGAGCUCAAAACCCUUGGAAUUUCCUGAGUAAUGGGGUUGCCUUUGUUAUUUGUAAGGGGCACCUUUGGAGGCUACCUGAGUUUAUGCUGAUGUGGUUGAACCACAAACGAUUUCAAGGGAGGAAUGAUCUAGAAAGAUGGAGUAUAUGAUUAGUGGGUGGGAACUCUGAGCCCUACACCCAGAUCUCUGGAGAAGGGGGAUCAGAGAUUAAGUUGAAGGAUACAGUUGAUGAUUUAAUCAGUCUCGUCUGGGCAGUAAAACCACAACAAACCUCUGAACACUGGGGAACAAGGCUGUGUCCUGGUUGGAGAAAAGACCCACGUGGUGGGAAGGCGGUUCGUCUGGGUUCCAGGAGCGGGGGGGCAUGGACCCUCUGUGCCACCUCCACCACCAAGACUUUGCUCUUGGCCCUGUGCAUCUUGUCCUCUGGCCAUUAAUUCGUAUUCUUUUUGUUAAUUUUAAGUAUGGCUCUUUUCUGAGUUCUGCUAGUCCUUCCAGCAAAUUAUCGAAGGUGAGGUGGGGAGUUGUGAGAACUCCCGAAUUUGUAGUCAGGUUUGACAGACGUCUGGCUGCCGCUGGGGUCCCAUCUGGGGUGGGUAUCUGAAGUAAGGGCAGGCCUGUGGGGACUCUACCCUUCAACCGUGGGAGCUGAGGCCAACGACAGGUGGCUGGGUGUCAGAAUUGAAUCCGACGGUCAGAUACCCAGCUGGUGUCUGAGAACUGGUUUUUGGAACUUCUUGGAAUGUUCAUAAAAAUGCCUCUUCUAGAUUAGAUCAAGGAAUCUGGCCUGAUACGUUUACUGAAGAUCCGCUGGCGAACUCCUUAAAGAGAGACACAAGCAGAAUGAAAUGAAAACCAAAUCACUCCGCCUUCCAUCCUGUAAACCUCUUGGGAUUCCCAGAAGUUAGAUUAUUUGGUCUAUGACGCCAGAUGGCUUUGGAAUUUUGGAGAAGUAGUGUCCACUGGUCGUCUCGAGGAGCUGUAUUUCCAUACCUUCUCUGGCGAUGAUGUUUAUUUUUAUAAACUUUGUUAAUUUGAUAGGUCAAAUGGUAUGUAAUUAUUUUAAUUGCAUUUAUUCCAUCCUUAAUGCCGCGGGAAAUUUUCCCAAGUGUUUGUUUACUUUCCUUUUCGAAUUUGUAUUUCCUUUUGUGAAUCCUUGGUUCACGACCCCAAACCCUCAUCUUCCAUUGGCAUUUCGCUGUGAAAUUAACCCUCUGACUGCAGAGUUACUGCAAUUCCAUUUUCCUUACCCAUUUACUCUGAAAUCCUGGUUAUGCUUUUAAUACACCGGCGUUAAAAUUUUUAUC